ACGUGGCCAGAAACGUCUCUCAGA
rnacentral:siRNA from 1 species